UACGGAGGGUGCAAGCGUUAUCCGGAUUCACUGGGUUUAAAGGGUGCGUAGGUGGGCUAGUAAGUCCGUGGUGAAAUCUCCAAGCUUAACUUGGAAACUGCCGUGGAUACUAUUAGUCUUGAAUAUUGUGGAGGUAAGCGGAAUAUGUCAUGUAGCGGUGAAAUGCUUAGAUAUGACAUAGAACACCCAUUGCGAAGGCAGCUCACUACGGGAAUAUUGACACUGAGGCACGAAAGCGUGGGGAUCAAACAGG
rnacentral:rRNA from 1 species